AGUGGUAAGUCAACUGGUUUUGGUCCAGUCAUUCGAGGGUUCGAAUCCUUCCGUCCCA
rnacentral:tRNA from 1 species